rnacentral:tRNA from 1 species
GUUGAGGUGACAAAUUCGUAUGAUAUCUCUCUAUGAGUAAACUUUUCAUCAUAGAAUAAAACUGUCCAAUAAU